AUACGUAGGGAGCGAGCGUUGUCCGGAAUUACUGGGCGUAAAGGGUGCGUAGGCGGUCAGGCAAGUCAGAUGUGAAAUCCCCGGGCUUAACUCGGGUGGUGCAUUUGAAACUGCUUGACUUGAGUGCAGGAGAGGAAAGCGGAAUUCCUAGUGUAGCGGUGAAAUGCGUAGAUAUUAGGAGGAACACCAGUGGCGAAGGCGGCUUUCUGGACUGUAACUGACGCUGAGGCACGAAAGCGUGGGGAGCAAACAGGAUUAGAUACCCUGGUAGUCCACGCUGUAAACGAUGGAUACUAGGUGUGGGGGAGAUACAACCUCCGUGCCGCAGCAAACGCAAUAAGUAUCCCGCCUGGGGAGUACGGUCGCAAGGCUGAA
rnacentral:rRNA from 1 species